UACGUAGGGGGCUAGCGUUGUCCGGAAUCAUUGGGCGUAAAGAGCGCGUAGGCGGCCAGAUAAGUCCGGUGUGAAAGUCACAGGCUCAACCUGUGAAUGCCGCUGGAAACUGUCUGGCUAGAGUCCGGGAGGGGCGAGUGGAAUUCCUGGUGUAGCGGUGAAAUGCGCAGAUAUCAGGAGGAACACCAAUGGCGAAGGCAGCUCGCUGGAACGGUACUGACGCUGAUGCGCGAAAGCGUGGGGAGCAAACGGG
rnacentral:rRNA from 1 species